rnacentral:lncRNA from 1 species
AAUUGUGCUUCCACAUCCAUGGUGUUUUCUCUACACAGAUUGCUGGUUUUACCUCAAGUCCAAAGCUUUAAGUUGACCUGAAUAUUUCCAGUUAACAUUCUCUUUGUCAGAGGGGCAUGAACUUCUCCCCGGUUAAAGAAUCUCUCCACACAAGGAGAUGCAAGUCAGGUGAUUGGGCCUCUUACUGAAGGACAGAGAAGAAAUGUGGCAGUAGUGAAUUCAUUGUAUAAGUUGCACCAAUCAGUAACAAAGGUUGUUUCCAGUCAGAGCUCAUUCCCACUGGCAGCUGAGCAAACUAUAAUUUCAGCUCUAAAGGAUCUGCAGUACAGUGUUGAAUAGAACUGGCUAUUCAUGCUCUUAUGGAAAAUGCUGUGCAACCCUUACUCACUUCUGUGGGAGAUGCUAUAGAGGCCAUAAUCAUCACCAUGCAUCAAGAAGACUUUUCUGGGUCAUUAUCCAGCUCAGGAAAACCUGAUGUUCCUUGUUCUCUGUACAUGAAGGAGCUACAAGGUUUCAUUGCCAGAGUUAUGAGUGACUAUUUUAAACACUUUGAAUGCUUGGAUUUUGUCUUUGACAACACU